rnacentral:rRNA from 1 species
GAUUUCUGGUAUUGCGCGCUCGGGCGACGGGAGUAAUCUCGCCUGUCCCGCUGCCGUGCAUGCCAUCCUGUCAGUAAACUCGACGCACUUAACUGGGCGGCGAGCGUUCUGGCUCAUUUACUUUGAAAAAAUUAGAGUGUUUCAAGCAGGCGUUUUGCUAUGAAUACAUUAGCAUGGAAUAAUGAGUUAGGACUUCGGUUCUAUUUUGUUGGUUUCUAGGACUGAAGUAAUGAUUGAUAGGGAUAGUUGGGGGUGCUAGUAUUCAGCGGCCAGAGGUGAAAUUCUUGGAUUCGCUGAAGACUAACUUAUGCGAAAGCAUU